GGGCCGGUAGCUUAGCAUGGUUAUAGCACCCGGCUGAUAACCGGGAGGUCGCCGGUUCAAAUCCGGCCCGGCCCA
rnacentral:tRNA from 1 species